rnacentral:rRNA from 1 species
AUUGAACGCUGGCGGCGUGCCUAACACAUGCAAGUCGAGCGGUAACAGGUGUAGCAAUACAUGCUGACGAGCGGCGAACGGGUGAGUAAUGCUUCGGAAUCUGCCCAUGUAGUGGGGAAUAACCAGCCGAAAGGUUGGCUAAUACCGCAUACGACCCUUGCCCACAAGGCAAAGGUGAAAGCAGGGGAUCGCAAGACCUUGCGCUAUUGGAUGAGCCGAAGUCGGAUUAGCUAGUUGGUAGGGUAACGGCCUACCAAGGCGACGAUCCGUAGCUGGUCUGAGAGGACGACCAGCCACACUGGGACUGAGACACGGCCCAGACUCCUACGGGAGG